UACGAAGGGGGCUAGCGUUGCUCGGAAUCACUGGGCGUAAAGGGUGCGUAGGCGGGUCUUUAAGUCAGAGGGGAAAUCCUGGAGCUCAACUCCAGAACUGCCUUUGAUACUGAGGAUCUUGAGUUCGGGAGAGGUGAGUGGAACUGCGAGUGUAGAGGUGAAAUUCGUAGAUAUUCGCAAGAACACCGGUGGCGAAGGCGGCCAGCUGGCGCUGACCUGACGCUGAGGCGCGAAGGCGUGGGGAGCGAACAGG
rnacentral:rRNA from 1 species